CUCAGUGACUUCAGCGAUGAAAUCAAUGAUUCUUAUGAAGUGGACAAUGUGGAGCGUAUUCUCUGCUCAGAUCUCAAGAUGUGGAGGAGAUUAUCAGGGCAGUACAGCCUGUUUUUAAAGUGCGCCGGCUCCUGUCCCAGUACAAAGUCUCUUUUCUCAAGCAUAGAGCUCACCCUGUCCGAAGACUCAGAUAAAACUAGCAGUGACUGGAAAAACUUCCUACAAGCAUAUAACCGAUGCAAAGG